AAGAUACUAGUAAAAAUGUAAUUACACUGCCUUGUCAAGGCAAAUUUGUGGGUUAAACCCCCGCGUAUCUUA
rnacentral:tRNA from 1 species